rnacentral:lncRNA from 1 species
GCCUCCCCGGCGCAGCGGCGCCUCUGGGCCGAGCACGCGCACCAGCGGCCUCCGCGCAGGCUCCGUGCCCGCGCACGCGCCCUCGCGUCGCGCUCCUGGCGGAGACACCUGCGCUCGGGCCCGGCUCCGGGCGGUUCUCCCGGUGCCGUUCCACCGGGACUUCCGCGCUUCGGCGGCCUUUCUGACGAGCCGCGGCGCCCGGAGAUGUUCAGGUUGGAGCGACACUUCCCAGAGGGCAGCGGUCACGCCAGAUCUUCGGCUUCCAUUCCGUUUUCGCGCGGUUCUCCCUCUUCGCAAGUGGGAUGCCGCUGCAGUGUGGCCUGAUGAGAGCUGAUAGAUCCCACCUGAGAUCAGAACCUGCAAACCUUGGGUGACCGAAGCAGAGCACAUGAACUUAACCACUGUGCCACAGAGUUGGCCCCAACCAUCUCAGCUUUCAAUUGGAGUACUUCAUACAUUUCAAAUUUAAUUCAACUAUCGAUAUUGUUAACUUUUUAUCUCCCAUUCUGCUGUUUCCUAUGUCUUAUGUGCUUUUGUGCCUUUUUUACUGCUUUUUCAUAUCAAAUAUAUUUUUUUCUAGAGAAACAUUUUACUGGUUCUCUUAAUAGCCUGAAUUAUUUUCUUAGUAGUUACUCAAGGGAAGACAAUAUACAUCUUAACAUAAUACUA